UGCCUUGCUUUGCCCAUCUUGCAACCA
rnacentral:piRNA from 1 species